AGAUAUGCACUCUUUAGCAAAGGAAGAUCAAAAGUCGAAAGAGCAAGUGUCUUUAUACUGUUUCUGAUUCAAGAAGGAAUAAUCCCGUCUAGAAGAGUCUUUGAUCUUUUCCUUGCCAGCAGAGCCGUGGGGAAGAUCUGCAAACUGAGAUUUCUGUUAGCAGAAGUGUCCGUGUUCCCAAGAGAAAGUCAGAAGAUAAGGAAAAUUUGUUUAUUUGUUUGUGUGAUAAUUCUUUUUAAAAGUGCAUUUCUCAUAUAUUACAUCCAAACAGCAAUUUUCCCUUCCCCUUCUCCUCACAGUCCCUCCUCCUCCAACUCCUCUCUUCCUCAAAUCCACUCCCCUUCCUUCUGCUUUAGAAAAGGGCAGGCCUCCAGGGAUAGCAACCAAACAAGGCAUACAGUUGGAGUAAAACUAGACACCUUCCCUCAUAUUAGGCUGGACAGGACAACCAGUAGGAGGAAAAAGGUCCUAUCAACAUCAGGGACAGUCUCUGCUCCCAAUAUUAGAAGUCCCACACGAAGAUUAGGUUAUAGAGCCAUAACUUAUAUAUGAAGUAACUAGGUCAGACCCACACAGCUUCUUGAUUGUCUAUUCAAUCUCUGUGAGCACCUAUGAGGCCAGGUUAGUUGCUUUGUGGGUUUUCUUACUAUGUCCUUGACCGCUCUCGCUCCUGCAAUUCCUCUCCUCUGCAACAUUCCCUGAGCUCUGCUGAAUGUUUGGCAAUGGGUCUUUGCAACUGUUUCUAUCAGUUGCUGCCUGGAGACUCUCUAAUCAUGAGUAUGCUUUCACCCUGCCUACAACUACAGCAGAAUGUCAUUAUCAUUUAAUUGCCUUUCAAUUUUUUUUUUGUUUUAUUUUGUUGUUUUUGUUUUGCUGAAUGUGUUUGUUUCUAUCCAGUCUUUAGUUCCUGGCCCAUCAACAAUGUCGGGCUUUGGCUCCCUCUUGUGGCACGGGUCUCAAGCUGGACCAUUCAUUGGCUGGCCACUCCCACAAUGUGGGUACCAUCCCAGCACGUCUUGCAUAAUGAAACUCACACCACUUCUGAAAAUAAAAUUCACCAGCUGACAGCAGACCACAUCAAGCAUGGUUUUCUCCAGAACUUGGCCACUUCUGUUUCUGUCUAUGUGUAUUUGAAGCAAGAGGAACACAUGUGUGUGUGACUUUAAUUAGGAGAACGUUUGAAUUGCUACGGGUGCUGCAGUCGCGUAAAUUGUAGCUGCAACCUGAUUCAAAUCAGGUGAUAUGGCUGAAGAAGUAAGCCUUCGUAGUAAUUGUAGAAACUUCAGGCGGAGUUCUUAGGUGAAAUCUCUCUGCAUUACAGAUGCUUGUAUAGGAGGAGGACAAAUGAAAGGUUGUCAUGUUGUGUGGCAUGAUAGCUAACAUACGCAAUGAGAAACUGUCUCUGAACUCAGAUUUGAUUUCCAGCAUCCACAUGGGGACUCAUGACUGUCUGUAGAUGUAAUUACAAAGGAUUUAAUGCCCUAUUGUGGCCUCCAUGGCACCGGGAAUGCAUGUGGUACACAGACAUAUAUGCAGGCAAAAUAACCAUAAACAUAAAAUAUUUUUAAUUAAAAACUAACAAAAAAAAUCAUUGUUCAAUAGAAAGAUACAUAGGAAUAUGGCAAGUAUGUGAUAUUCCCAACUUCAGUGAUGGUUAAAUAAUAUGGUAUAUUGUACCAAUUACACAAACUCAAAAUUCCAGAGACAAGACCCCAUGUCUCACAAGUUCACUUGUGAUGAUGACAUCACCAACCAGGCCCGGAUAAAUGGUUGGAUAUUAAAUCCACACGUCUUGUACGUCCAUUCCAGAUCUUCUUAGAUAAGGGGAAUGUUCCAAAUUUCCAACAGAAUGAAUAAUUCUGUCAGAUGGACAGCAUGGAUCAGCGACAUGUGAAUGGCAGUCCUUGGGCAGCAUGUGUUAUCCAGAAGUCAACCUUCAGGUAUGAACACCAAAAGCACAUGGCAUGCAAAGCACACAUCUCUAUGCAUGUAGUCCUCAGUCAGCCACACAGUCAUGUUCUCACUGUUUCCAUCAGGAUCGAUUUGAAGAGAAAGUUGUAAGGCUCCGGAGCAGUGCAAUAGCUAGCGAUUUGAAUCUACCUACUUGCUCAGAAGGUGAAUCUCAGUAAACUCUAAACUUAUGUCUGGGCCUGGAUGGUGAUGUCAACACCACAUCAUCACAUGUGGGCUUGUGAGACAUGGAGUCUUGUCUCUAGGGUUUUGUGUAAUUGAUGCAAUGUACCAUAUUAUUUAAAUUACUUUAAUUUAUUUUAAAAUAAUAUUGAAUGCCACUCUUACAAUAAAGUUAUAAUAAAUAUUAUAAAUAUAAAAAUACAAGUCAUAGAUACCACUAUCACUCCCAAAUAAUCAACGUUGUCAAUAAAAUAUCAUUAAAAUACAUACCGCCCAAAGUUUCUUCAGAGUGUAUUUUUACAUGUUAUAUAAUUACUACAGCUUUGUAAAACAUUUCAAGAAAGUCAUAAAAUAAUGAAGAGGAACUAU